GAGACGCUUGCACUUCUUGCAGAAAUCGAAUAAGAGCAGAGCUCCCUGGAAAAAGUUCCUUAAGAAAACUGCGGAUAAAUUAAAACAAAUUUUCGCCUCAUUUUCAUCUUUCGAUACCACGAACUAUAACAAAGAUGACAAAUUUUAGUUUUGGAUUUUCGCUCCUACUUGUAGUUAUCUAUGGAUCUAUACAAAUGAGUCAUUCUUUGUGCUGUGAUAAAAUCAAAAG